CCUACGGGUGGCUGCAGUGGGGGAUAUUGCACAAUGGGGGAAACCCUGAUGCAGCUACGCCGCGUGUGGGAAGACGGUCCUCUGGAUUGUAAACCACUGUCCCCAGGGACGAAGAUGACGGUACCUUGGGAGGAAGCUCCGGCUAACUACGUGCCAGCAGCCGCGGUAAUACGGAGGGAGCGAGGGUUGUCCGGAUUUCCUGGGUGUAAAGGGAGCGUAGGCGGGACUGGAAGUUGGGUGUCAAAUCUACCGUCUCAACCUGGAGACUGCACUUGAAACUGGGUGUCUUGAGGGCAGGAGAGGAAAGUGGAAUUCGUGGUGGAGCGGUGAAAUGCGUAGAUAUUAGGAGGAACACCAGUGGCGAAGGCGACUUUCUGGACUGUACCUGACGCUGAGGCGCGAAAGCGUGGGUAGCGAACGGGAUUAGAUACCCUGGUAGUC
rnacentral:rRNA from 1 species